UGGAAUGGACGAAACCCACAA
rnacentral:piRNA from 1 species